CAGUAGCCGCGGUAACACCGAGGGUGCGAGCGUUAAUCGGAUUUACUGGGCGUAAAGCGUGCGUAGGCGGCUUUUUAAGUCGGAUGUGAAAUCCCUGAGCUUAACUUAGGAAUUGCAUUCGAUACUGGGAAGCUAGAGUAUGGGAGAGGAUGGUAGAAUUCCAGGUGUAGCGGUGAAAUGCGUAGAGAUCUGGAGGAAUACCGAUGGCGAAGGCAGCCAUCUGGCCUAAUACUGACGCUGAGGUACGAAAGCAUGGGGAGCAAACAGGAUUAGAUACCCCCGUAGUCCCUGUCUCUUAUAC
rnacentral:rRNA from 1 species